CAGAGACCGGCUUCCUGCAUCCAGACUCGCUCUGAGAGAACGGGAUUCUAGUGCUUGACCUGCCACCGGGGGAGUAAAGUUGGGUAAAAACCCUUUCACUCUAUGAACAUUCCAUUGUUAUUUUUUGGUCUCACCAAAUCAAGAGGGAACUUGCCUGGGACUGAAAUCCACUGUUAAAACAAAGGGGAGUCGACUUUAGGAUGAAGUGGACACCACAGAAAGCAGAGAGACGAGACAGAAAGAUUCUAGACUUUUAUACCCUAAGGCCAGUCCUCGCUUGAAGAUUGACCUACCUUUGACCUUUUCAGAUAUCAAGCGAAAAAUUUCCAUCCUUUCCCAGUUUGAGAAACUGGAUCCUACACAUGUACUGAAGAAAACAACUGGUGAACAAGCCACAGAGCCUGUCUUCAAGGAGUCGUCCUUCACACAGAGCAUGCUUACCCUCAGAAAUAAUGAAAUUCGGACUUAAAUUACAUCUCCCCCCACCACCCCCACCAGGGGAAAAAAUCAACUGGAGGUGCCAACUGAAGGUAAGGGAAAUAGGAAAUCAGUGGCAAAGGAGGCAAGAUCAGUUACAGUUUAGAAUAAGUUGUUGAAAAUGAGAAAUGUAGUCUCUAUACAUCCUUAAGGUGUUUCCCUUUCCUCCUCUUUCUGUUCCGAAUAGGGAAUGUUUCCCAUUUUGUCCAUAGGUUGCAGAAUAUUGAGAAGGCGCUGGCAAGAAACUUGUGGGAAUGGCUGUGUCCUAGGGAUCAGGGUUCAGGGGACAGAGGCCUACAGCAUUACCCAGAACUUUCUCUUAUUUAUGGUCCUUACUCUGGGAGAAAGUUAUUUAAGCAUUCUAAGAAAUAGAAACUCUCUCUGUUGCUAAGUAUAGAGAUUAAUAUGAGCUAGAGCAGGAUACAGAAAGA